ACUACCACUCAGGGCCGGAAAGCUCUCCAAACUCGGUCAUUUAGAGGAAGUAAAAGUCGUAACAAGGUCUCCGUUGGUGAACCAGCGGAGGGAUCAUUACCGAGUUUACAACUCCCAAACCCAAUGUGAACGUUACCAAACUGUUGCCUCGGCGGGAUCUCUGCCCCGGGUGCGUCGCAGCCCCGGACCAAGGCGCCCGCCGGAGGACCAACCUAAAACUCUUAUUGUAUACCCCCUCGCGGGUUUUUUUUUAUAAUCUGAGCCUUCUCGGCGCCUCUCGUAGGCGUUUCGAAAAUGAAUCAAAACUUUCAACAACGGAUCUCUUGGUUCUGGCAUCGAUGAAGAACGCAGCGAAAUGCGAUAAGUAAUGUGAAUUGCAGAAUUCAGUGAAUCAUCGAAUCUUUGAACGCACAUUGCGCCCGCCAGUAUUCUGGCGGGCAUGCCUGUCCGAGCGUCAUUUCAACCCUCGAACCCCUCCGGGGGGUCGGCGUUGGGGAUCGGCCCUCCCUUAGCGGGUGGCCGUCUCCGAAAUACAGUGGCGGUCUCGCCGCAGCCUCUCCUGCGCAGUAGUUUGCACACUCGCAUCGGGAGCGCGGCGCGUCCACAGCCGUUAAACACCCAACUUCUGAAAUGUUGACCUCGGAUCAGGUAGGAAUACCCGCUGAACUUAAGCAUAUCAAUAAGCGGAGGAAAAGAAACCAACAGGGAUUGCCCCAGUAACGGCGAGUGAAGCGGCAACAGCUCAAAUUUGAAAUCUGGUCCCUAGGGCCCGAGUUGUAAUUUGUAGAGGAUGCUUUUGGUGAGGUGCCGCCCGAGUUCCMUGGAACG
rnacentral:rRNA from 1 species